GGACUUAGAAAAAUAGAUCCACUCGCUUCAGACAACCUCAGGAUCUCCAAACUGAAGACACAAGUGACAUGACCGAAACAGGGUCCCCUCAAUAAGAUUUCCCAGAUACUGAGGACCUCAGUCUCCUCACCACCACGAUUCCUGCACACCGAUGCAUUCCUUUAAAAGUCUUGUUUCAGGAAAGCAGCUGGAACAUUAAUGGCAAUUCCACUUUCCCAUUCAUCGCCCCCGCCCCCACCACCCCACCAAGAAACUCAGUGGGAAUGAAUGGUCUACACAGAGAAACUGAAAUCUGGUUAGUCAAGAAGGAAAAAACAACCAAGUGCCUGGCAUUAAGAGGAUUUUUUUUUUAAGCUCAGCCUAUGGACAACAAAAGCAUGGACUGUAUUUCUCAGCAUCUUUUGCAGGAUGAGGAAACUGGAGCCCAGGUAGCCAUUUUGGACCUGAAGGUGGAAGUCAAGCUAGGGAGAGCAAACAACACGUGUGUGGAUCCCUGAUGAUCAGGUCAUCCUAAUCCUGAACUGCUUUCCUCUGGUCUCUUUAACAGGAGAGACCAGAGGAAAACCAUGAGAGAGAGGUAAUUUUCUAUCCCACUUAAGCCACUAUUGUACUUUGGACUUUCUUGUCAUGUACAGCCAAGCCUAAUUAUAACUAAUAAAACAUGCAAUUGAAAGACAAAAA
rnacentral:lncRNA from 1 species